rnacentral:ncRNA from 2 species
GGACAAACUUCUGGAGAGACUCGAAAGAGCACCGAAGGGGCAAGCAUAAUGCGAAACUCUCAGGUAAAAGGACAGAGGCAGAAAU